GUGAUUGCAGAUUCAGUGAUCAUCGAAUCUUUGAACGCACAUUGCGCCCUUUGGUAUUCCAUAGGGGCAUGCCUGUUCGAGCGUCACUAACAACCCCAUCACAAAAGAGUGUGGUAUUGGCAGAAGUGGGUAGGGCUAGCAGUGCUGGCCCCACUCUGCUGGAAUGAAUAGGCCGGAAAUGUAGACCAUGGUAACAGACUUUCRGAGUAUUUUGCAAUGCUAAAUUAGUUUGUAGGCUUGGUCAGAAUCUAGGCCAUUUGGACCCCCAUUCUGCGUAAAGCAGUAAAUGUUGACCUCGGAUCAGGUAGGGAUACCCGCUGAACUUAAGCAUAUCAAUAAGCGGAGGAAAAGAAACCAACAGGGAUUGCCUUAGUAACGGCGAGUGAAGCGGCAAAAGCUCAAAUUUGAAAUCUGACACCUUUGGUGUUCGAGUUGUAAUUUGGAGAGGCAUCUUCUGGAGGGGCCCAGCCUAUGUGCCUUGGAACAGGACGUCAUAGAGGGUGAGAAUCCCGUACUUGACUGGAUGUUCCCUCCUGUAUGUAGUGUCUUCUACGAGUCGAGUUGUUUGGGAAUGCAGCUCAAAAUGGGUGGUNAAUUUCAUCUAAAGCUAAAUAUUGGCGAGAGACCGAUAGCGC
rnacentral:rRNA from 1 species